CCUCGAUGCUCCGCCGCUCGCGGCUGGGGGGUCCGGGGCCGCGUCUCCUCUCCUCCCUCCGCCUCUCCUCUUUCCUCCUUCCUGCUGCCUCUUCUUUUAAAGCGGAUUCUUUGGCCACAAAUAGCAACUCGGCUGCCCCCCUCGGUGCCUCCCUCCCCUUCUCUUCUUCCCCCCAAAAGUGAAGCGCACGCGAGGUAAAGAAACGAAGACCCUGAGAAUUUAAAAUCAUCCAACUAUUUGGUGCCAGAAGCAGGACAAGAACUCAGACAUCAUGAUCCAGUGCCCUCCAUCCCACCAGCUAUUCAUCAUCACCUCCACAUUCUGGAUCAAAGAAGCCAGUUUUCCAACUUAUCAAUGAGCAAUACAUAUAGAAUAUUUUUAAAACUCCAAAUACUUUUAUGAAGGAAAAAUGAAGCAAUAGGACAAGACAUUUUCUUCGUUUCCUUCCAGCUCUAACAUUCUGUGAUAAAUAGCACACAGGAGCUUUGCUAUAGCACUACCCCCUCUAGUGCAUAAUUCAGCAUACGAUGAGUAUGAGUCUGUUUUGGACCCCAUCCAAAGGAGUUAGUUCCUAGAAGUACUUGGAAGAUUUAUUCUCAUUUAUCAUGAGGCAUCCUAACAGGAGACUAAAAAUAAUCACGAUGACAAUAAUAGUAAUCAGUUGUUACACUUGUAUUAUGUACUAAGCAUCGUGCUAAGCAUGUUAAAGUUCACCUGUUUUUGAAAAGGCACUUCAUGACCUUAUGUGGGUUGCGAAUCUAGUGGGUCAUAAACAAUUUCUGAAAUGAAAGAAAAGUAGGAAAAAACACAGAGUGCAUUAUACAUACUAAGUUGUUUUAUUUUUUAUUUUUUUAUUUUUUUUGCAAAACUUCCUUUUUGAUCAUGUGGCUAGUGAUUAAAAGUUUGGAAGCACUGCCUCGUUUCCAAUCUUAACUGCCUUGCUAGUUAAGUAUUAUUAGCCCCAUUAUAUAAGUGAGGAAACAGGACGAGAGAGGAUAAGUAAUUUGGCCAAGCUGACACAGUGAGUGGCCAAGCUAGAAUUUUGAACCUAGAUCUGUUUGACUUCAAAUCCAAUAUUUUCACUUCUAUAGUGAUGAUAAAUUAUUGACCAAGGUAUGGAAUAAAUUGUUGCUAAUCAUGUUUUCUUUGUGAGGACUACUGGGGUUUUUAUUAAAUCCAGCUAAAUGGAGAAACACAGCAUAGAUUCAAGUGACAUGUUCGGAAGAGAGUGAGGAAUUUCAUAAAACACUAAAUCUAAUAUCUAAGACCUUUUCCUGUAGGUGUUAGCUUAUGUCUAAUACACUUUAUUGACUUACUGCUAAAUACAUAAAUGAAACAAUAAUAGUUUCAGUCCUCAAAUAACAAUAUUCACUUCUACGUGUGUUUCUAUUUUUAUUUCAGAGAGUAUUUUUCAAAUUUAAGUUAUACAGCAUUUCUCAGUAGCUUGCUUUGGCCAAACACAGAACUAGCACAUAAGAAAGCUAAAAGGCCAGGCACUGUGGCUCACACCUGUAAUCCCAGCACUUUUGGAGGCCAAGGCAGGCAGAUCACUUGAGGUCAGGAGUUUGAAAUCAGCCUGGCCAACAUGGUGAAACCCGUCUCUACUAAAAAUACAAAAAUUAUCUGGGCGUGGUGGCACGUGUCUGUAAUCCCAGCUACUCGGGAGGC
ensembl:lncRNA PTPRD-AS1 PTPRD antisense RNA 1